rnacentral:rRNA from 1 species
AUUGAACGCUGGCGGCAGGCCUCACACAUGCAAGUCGAGCGAGCGGCGGACGGGUGAGUAAUGUAUGGGGACUUCCCGAUAGAGGGGGAUAACUACUGGAAACAGUAGCUAAUACCGCAUACUAUCGGAUAACCCAUAUGGGAUUAGCUAGUAGGUGAGGUAAUGGCUCACCUAGGCGACGAUCCCUAGCUGGUCUAAGAGGAUGAUCAGCAAAAUGGGGACUGAGAAACGGCCCAGACUCCUACGGAGGCAGCAGUGGGGAAUAUUGCACAAUGGGCGCAAGCCUGAUGCAGCCAUGCCGCGUGUAUGAAGAAGGCCCGAGGGUUGUAAAGUACUUUCAGGCGGUAGGCGUUACCGACAGAAGAAUCACCGGCUAACUCCGUGCCAGCCGCCGCGGUAAUAC